UACGGGGGGGGCAAGCGUUGUUCGGAAUUACUGGGCGUAAAGGGCUCGUAGGUGGCCAACUAAGUCAGACGUGAAAUCCCUCAGCUUAACUGGGGAACUGCGUCUGAUACUGGAUGGCUUGAGAUUGGGAGAGGGAUGCGGAAUUCCAGGUGUAGCGGUGAAAUGCGUAGAUAUCUGGAGGAACACCGGUGGCGAAGGCGGCAUCCUGGACCGACACUGACACUGAGGAGCGAAAGCCAGGGGAGCAAACGGG
rnacentral:rRNA from 1 species